CGAACGGGUGAGUAAUACAUCGGAACGUGCCCAGUAGUGGGGGAUAACCCGGCGAAAGCCGGACUAAUACCGCAUACGACCUACGGGUGAAAGCAGGGGAUCGUAAGACCUUGCGCUAUCGGAGCGGCCGAUGUCAGAUUAGCUUGUUGGUGGGGUAAAAGCCCACCAAGGCGACGAUCUGUAGCUGGUCUGAGAGGACGACCAGCCACACUGGGACUGAGACACGGCCCAG
rnacentral:rRNA from 1 species